ACAACAUUUUUUUUAGUACAUGUAUGUCUGGUGCAACAAUUGGGACAUACUUAUGCUAAAAAAAUUAGUGUUC
rnacentral:ncRNA from 2 species